AGCAAAGUAAGAGCCGAUUGCCGACAACUGGAACAAGUCGGCGUGGGCAGGAAAGCAUUAUUUGACCAGGGGAUGACGAUCCGGGACUGAUGCUCCUUGACUUAGGAUGGGGUUGCGUCCUGAUAAACCCACCGUAAGCUGAAAAUACUGUCAGUGAAAACGCAUUUCCUACACGUAACUGACAGAACACCAUCGCUACCCAGCCUGCCUGAGACGUGCUCAGGACACGCACGGCAGCCUGCAGCCUGCAGCCUGGCAGGGUCCUCUAACACAGUGAACACACAUGGAGGGUCGCUUGUUGCCCUCAGGAUUGCAUGGCUGGCCGGGAGCUGUGUGCUGCCACACUGCCCAGCGUCACACAACGUUACCGCCAGCAGAGGAAAAGAUCGAAAUUCGAAGUGUGCAGGAUGGUUUCUCAUGGACGCGCAUCGCGUUUGCGCCAUUGUAAGGUGGAACAAUUGAACCAUUUGCAAGCCUGCUUUGUAUCAUACCGCUGAUCAGCGCUUAUUCUGGGGACCUGGGAUUUGAUCGCUGGCCUGUACAUUUGUCUUGCUCACUAGAUCAUGGCUGCUUGAGGAGUCUGAUACGAAUUCCGGAGUUCCCGGUACUUAACAAACACCCAAUAACAGGGUAUUGCUAGCACAUAACAGGUACCCAAUAAAAGUUUAUCAGUAAUUCCAUAUGCAAAGGGAAAAGAGGAUUGUUUAAAAGUGCAUGCAUACGAAUAUGCACAAUUUCAUAUUCUAAUAACAGCAACUUAACAGUUUAAAAACUACCUUCACGUGUUUGUAAGAAACAGGCUGCUAGCUCCCCCUCUGCACUGUAGCGGUCAUAAAAUACAUAAUAAAUUAAAGGAAGUAACAAUAUCUCUUUGACGACAGUUUACUGUUCCAUCCUGAGCUGAUGCCAACUUAAUGUUAUCAUUAAAUAAUUCCAUUAACUGCAAUUGUGCAGUUUACUGAGCCAUUACUGUCAUCAAAAAGUGAAAGUAUAUUCAAAACUGAAAACAGAGGCUUACAUAGGAGUAAAUGGCAUUAACAUGCAAACAAAUUAGGUGCGGGAGAAACAGCAAUAGCAAUGGGACUGGCAUUCCAGCCCAGGCUCAGCAUUAACACACGAUUACGUUUUAAUAUUUACACAUAGAUGAACAAUAA